rnacentral:tRNA from 1 species
GUUUAAGUAACUUAUAAUGUAAAGUGUAGCACUGAAGAUGCUAAAAAGAAAUUUAUUUCCUUGAACA